rnacentral:rRNA from 1 species
UAGGGAAUAUUGGACAAUGGGCGAAAGCCUGAUCCAGCAACGCCGCGUGUGCGAUGACGGCCUUCGGGUUGUAAACUCCUUUUCCAGGGGACGAGAGAGGACGGUACCCUGGGAAUAAGUCACGGCUAACUACGUGCCAGCAGCCGCGGUAAUACGUAGGUGGCGAGCGUUAUCCGGAAUUACUGGGCGUAAAGCGCAUGCAGGCGGCUAGUUAAGUUUGACGUGAAAUCUCCCGGCUUAACCGGGAGCAGCCGUUGAAAACUGACAAGCUUGAGGCGAUGAGAGGGGUGUGGAAUUCCCGGUGUAGUGGUGGAAUGCGUAGAUAUCGGGAGGAACACCAGAGGCGAAAGCGACACCCUGGCAUUUGCCUGACGCUGAGAUGCGAAAGCGUGGGGAGCAAACG